rnacentral:rRNA from 1 species
CCUACGGGGGGCAGUAGUGAGGAAUAUUGGUCAAUGGCCGGAAGGCUGAACCAGCCAUGCCGCGUGAAGGUCAGUGCCCUAUGGGCGUUAAACUUCUUUUGUGCGGGAGCAAUAAUGGUCACGUGUGGCCAGACGAGAGUACCGUACGAAUAAGCAUCGGCUAACUCCGUGCCAGCAGCCGCGGUAAUACGGGGGAUGCAAGCGUUAUCCGGAUUUAUUGGGUUUAAAGGGUGCGUAGGCUGGGAGGUAAGUCAGCGGUGAAAUGCCCCCGCUCAACGGGGUGAAGUGCCAUUGAUACUGCCUGGCUGGAAUGCGGAUGCCGUGGGAGGAAUGUGUGGUGUAGCGGUGAAAUGCAUAGAUAUCACACAGAACACCGAUUGCGAAGGCAUCUCACGAAUCCGCGAUUGACGCUGAUGCACGAAAGCGUGGGUAUCAAACAGGAUUAGAUACCCUUGUAGUC